rnacentral:tRNA from 1 species
GGUUCUAUGCGCGUAGUGGUCAUCACAUCUUCUUUACAUGCAGAAAGUCCUGGGAUCGACCCCCAGUGGAACCA